AUUGAACGCUGGCGGCAGGCUUAACACAUGCAAGUCGAGCGGGGGAAGGUAGCUUGCUACCGGACCUAGCGGCGGACGGGUGAGUAAUGCUUAGGAAUCUGCCUAUUAGUGGGGGACAACAUCUCGAUAGGGAUGCUAAUACCGCAUACGUCCUACGGGAGAAAGCAGGGGAUCUUUGGACCUUGCGCUAAUAGAUGAGCCUAAGUCGGAUUAGCUAGUUGGUGGGGUAAAGGCCUACCAAGGCGACGAUCUGUAGCGGGUCUGAGAGGAUGAUCCGCCACACUGGGACUGAGACACGGCCCAGACUCCUACGGGAGGCAGCAGUGGGGAAUAUUGGACAAUGGGGGGAACCCUGAUCCAGCCAUGCCGCGUGUGUGAAGAAGGCCUUAUGGUUGUAAAGCACUUUAAGCGAGGAGGAGGCUACUUUAGUUAAUACCUAGAGAUAGUGGACGUUACUCGCAGAAUAAGCACCGGCUAACCCUGUGCCAGCAGCCGCCGCGG
rnacentral:rRNA from 1 species